rnacentral:rRNA from 1 species
AAUCUUGCGCAAUGGGCGAAAGCCUGACGCAUCCAUGCCGCGUGAGUGAUGAAGGUCCUCGGAUAGUUAAGCUAUGUCUUUGGGGAAGAAGAUUUUCGGAUUUGACGGUACACAAAGAGGAAGCCCCGGCUACCUGCGUGCCAGCAGCCGCGGUAAUACGUAGGUGGCAAGCUUUGUCCGGUAUUAUUGAGCUUAAAGGGUGCGUAGUCGGCCUUAUAAGUCAGAUGUGAAAGACCGCGGCUUAACCGUGGGGUUGCAUUUGAAACUUGAGAGCUUGAGUAUCGGAGAGGGUAGUGGAAUUCACAGUGUAGCGGUGGAAUGCGUAUAUAUUGGGAGGAACACCAGUGGCGAAGGCGACUACCUGGACGAAAACUGACGCUGAUGAACGAAAGCUAGGGGAGCAAACA